rnacentral:rRNA from 1 species
AUUGAACGCUGGCGGCAUGCCUUACACAUGCAAGUCGAACGGCAGCACGGGAGCAAUCCUGGUGGCGAGUGGCGAACGGGUGAGUAAAGUAUCGGAACGUGCCCAGUCGUGGGGGAUAACGUAGCGAAAGUUACGCUAAUACCGCAUACGAUCUAUGGAUGAAAGCGGGGGAUCGCAAGACCUCGCGCGAUCGGAGCGGCCGAUAUCAGAUUAGGUAGUUGGUGGGGUAAAGGCUAACCAAGCCGACGAUCUGUAGCUGGUCUGAGAGGACGACCAGCCACACUGGGACUGAGACACGGCCCAGACUCCUACGGGAGGCAGCAGUGGGGAAUUUUGGACAAUGGGCGAAAGCCUGAUCCAGCCAUGCCGCGUGCAGGAUGAAGGCCUUCGGGUUGUAAACUGCUUUUGUACGGAACGAAAAGGUUUGGGCUAAUAAGCUGAGCUCAUGACGGUACCGUAAGAAUAAGCACCGGCUAACUACGUGCCAGCCGCCGCCGUAA